CCAGGAUAUGGCCAUGGAAAUGGGCUGCGGGCCCAGCCAGGUCCCUGCAGUUCGAGGGUCGCUCCACUGCUCCUCCCCAGGCUUCCCACUCCAGGGAUCCCUUCGGACAGAGAGGGUGUCUGGGGCCUGAAAUCCCAGCCUCCUUCCGCGGUACAGAAUGGCAAGUUCCAAGGGCACCAGCCUCCAAAUGGCUAUGGACCAGGAGCAGAACUGGGUUUCAAUGGCGGCCUCGAGCCACAGAAAAUUGGUUUUGGUUAUGGGAAUGGUGUCCUGGGAGCCAGGGUCUUCUCCGAGGCCCGCCUACAGCCAGGGUUCCCUGGGGCCAAUGGCUUUAGGAAUGGUGAGUCAGACCCAGGGGACAAAGUGCAGUGGGGCAGGGGAGCCAACAGCCCAGGGGCUAGGUGGGAAUGACUGGAGUCUCUUGCAGGGGAUGGGGUGAAAGCUCUGGUGUACCCCAAAGCCUCGGCUCCAGCCCCUGAAGGAAAUGGUAAGAA